GCACCACAAGAACGCGUGGAGCAUGUGGCUUAAUUUGACUCAACGCGGGAAAUCUUACCGGGUCCGGACACACUGAGGAUUGACAGGCAAUAUCUCAUGUUAACGGUAAGUUUACUUACCGCUUAACAUCGAGUGUUAAAUAUGCUAGUCCUUUCAUGAUUAUGUGAUAGGUGGUGCAUGGCCGUUCUUAGUUCGUGGAGUGAUCUGUCUGCUUAAUUGCGUUUCACUAAGGGCCCAUAAAUUCAAGGUAUGUUAGCUCUCGUCGCUCUAUGGACCCCUUAACUCCAAUAUUCUUAUUGUGUUAAGCGCGUGUCUUUAUUUUAAGAGUUUUAAGACACUGCGCAUGCUGUUGGGCUCUGAAAGCAACGAACGUGACCGCAACGUCUUGUUGCCUUAAACUAGCGUAUAUUGCAAUUUAUUGUAAUAUCGCUUACAGAGGCUAUUUAAAACUAGACGGACCGCUGUUUCUUUCUUAAACCAGAGGAAGGUUGCGGCAAUAACAGGUCUGUGAUGC
rnacentral:rRNA from 1 species